UAAACUUUGGCUGCUCACACUUCCUCCAUACAAGGCCUUCCUUCUGGCCGUCACCAGGGCUCAGAGCUACAGGCAGUCUGGAGCUGUUUGCUCAUGAAGGUAUGAACAGGGUUGUGAGCUUCUAGGUGAUUCUGUCUUUGCUGCUAUCUCACAGUAGGCGUUCUGGGCUAACAAAUGUGAGCUACCCGGAGCCUUUUACCUGUAUUCCUGGGAUCAAACUCAGCUCAUCCGGCUCGCUUAGCAAGCCCUUUAACAAGUUGAGCCAUCUCCCCAGCCCCAGGAUACCUUUUAAAAGCAACUUCUGGAGCCUUUUGUUCUUUUUCUCUUAAAGAGAAGCUGCAUGUAACAUAACUUUUUAAAAAAGAAGAGGAACGCUCUAAAUAUAGAAGACCUAACCCAUGGUGCAGCUGCCGAGGCAUAGCAACAGUGGAUGACUUUUUUUUUUUUUAAUUGCAUCCCGAGGAAAAAUACGUGGUUCUAAAUAUCCCAGGAAGUUAUCACGGAAAACUCUGAAUAUGCCUAAAAUGCUCAGUGCUGGGUGACAGCAGAGGAAAGGGCCGACACUGCCCCCUCCCCACAACCCAGCCUCAGCCAGCUGCGGUAACAAAAUGCCCAAUGGACAGCAAACAUUCCAGAGAAUCUUUGCAGAGUGAAAGAACAAAUCUAUGAUCAGACUGGCCCCACAAUGGUACUCUGCAAAAAUGCUCAGAAGAAGAAUGGUUUGUCCUGAGACGUGGAUGACAAAAAACAGAGGGGCCUUCUAUCACCUACAGAGAGUCUCGGGUUUCAAAUGUAAACCGUCACCAUAAUUAUGGCACGGGGAGAAAGGAUUUCUCUGUGUAGCUCUGACUGUUCUAGAACUCUCUCUGUAGACCAGACUGGCCUCAAACUCACAGAAACCAGCCUGGCUUUGCCUUCCGAGUGCUGGGAUUAAAGUCAUGCACUACCACGGCCCAGGUGAGAAGCACUGUUUUGUUUUUAAGAUAUAUGUAGUUUAUGUAUCUGAAUUCUCUUUCUGCAUGUGUGCCUUUAUGCCAGAAGGAGGCAUCAGAUCCCAUUAUAGAUGGUUGUGAGCCACCAUGUGGUUGCUAGGAAUUAAACUCAGGACCUCUAGAAGAGCAGCCAGUGCUUUUAACUGAUGAGCUACCUCUCCAGACCCAGAAGCAAGUGUUCUUAACCACUGAGCCGUAUCUUCAGCCCACUCAAAUAAUUUCUUAAGGUCAGGAAUGUAUGAGCUGAGAUGGUUCGGUUCUGGGGCCCUCCUGACAUUGGAGGUGAGAUGUCUUUGCUAAUCUAAGGUUUAAUGGGGCUUCUCUGAAGCCUGAGCCUGGAGGAUCUGCCUCCAAGCUCAUACAUGAACAUGGGUGUCUUGGUUAGGGAUAUUUUUUUUUAAUUGCUGUGAAUAGGCACCAUGACCAUGGCAACUCUUACAGAGAAAACAUUUAAUUGAGGUGGUGGCUCACAGUUUCAGAGGUUCAGUCUAUUAUCAUCAUGACAGGGAGCAUGCACAGCGUGCAGGCAGAGGUGGUGCUGGCUACAUCUUAACCAGAGGGUAGCAGGAAGUAGCCUUGAAUGAAGCUUGAGAAAAAAAUGAGACCUCAAAGCCCACCCUCACAGUGACACACUUCCUCCAACAAGAACAUCCCUACUCCAACAAGGCCAUAUCUCCUAAUCAUGUCACUUCCUUUGGGGGCCAUUUUCUUUCAAACCACCACAACAGGCAAGAAGACUUCAUACCUCAUCUUAUGAAGAUCUCCAUGGACUACACAGUCACAGCAGUGGGCUUCACCCAGAGUUGGUAACCCAAGAGAGACAGUGAAAUGCCUUUUCAAGUCUACUUCCAUGGAUGGUCUUCUUCCAUUCCGCCUGAUGUUAUUGGUGUACAGACCUACCCCAGGCCAGUACAGGAGGAGUGUAUCCACGGAUGUGAAUACUCGGGAAGGUACAGUUGGCCAUACAGAUAUGAUCAUACACAUCUCUCUUCCCCCACGCAAUCUCUAGCCAAAUGUGUAGCCCUAUGUUCAGCAUCCAGGAUGCAGAUGGACUCUGAGAGAUUGAAUAAAGUUCAUCCAUGGCCAGUUUUCCGCCAUUCUUGUGUAUGAACAGUUCUGAGGCCCUUGUAGUUGGAUGGCCUGUGGCUACUUCUGGGCAGUCGAAGAGAUCCAUGUCGGUGUUACACAAAAGGAACAAAAGGCAUGGUCCUGGUGUUCCAGUCUCUUUCCUAAAGUAGCAUCCUGGGAACCCUGACUGGUCAACAAUGCUCCAGCAGGUGCAGCUGUGUGAAUGAGCACUGUCAUUGAGCUCUUGACCCAGAGCCAAGGCCAUGUGGACCAGUUCGUUCCUGCAGGAGAGAAGCAGCCGGUAUGCAAAGUCGUGAACUCUGCAGGAGCCAUCACUAUAGCUCACUGGAGCCAUCCUGAACAUCAUUUUUCUAAGAAUAGCCUGGGCUAGUGUUGGGGACUGCAGACCCCUCAGACCCUGAAUUUUCUGUGACCCCUUGCCUGCCGGAGUAAACAACUUAUUUUUUUGUGCUUGCAACUGCUCUGAGCACGAGACCCUCAUGAGUUCCUAAUGGCAGGGGAGUGGUUUUUGGUGGACUUGCAGCUGAAAAGUUCAGAGAGCUAGGGUGUGACCAUUAGUCAAGGAGAGCCUUUAUAAAAUGCCCUCAAACACAAUAAAAGGGCAUUCUUGUUUCAAGGAUGACCCGUGUCUAUGUGUGUGUGUGUGUGUGUAUGUGUAUUUCGAUCUCUAGCCCCUCGCCCCACUCACAAACUGUCCGUGGUGUAUAGGCGGAAUGGUACAGGCUAGCCCCAAGUUGCAGAUGCAGAAGAGGAGACAUUCGAAGGUGAAAAGACUAGCCCAAGACUCUGGAACAAGUAAAUAGCAAACCAAAUUUUGAAUGUGAGUUCUUUGUCUAGUGGUUCAGGAAGGUGUACGGAAUUGUGGUAAAUGCCACAAAGACGGGAACCAUUGAGUUUAACCUGGCAUUUAGUGAGCAAACCAACAGAACUCCUUGAGUCUUGGUUUUCUCAGUUUGCUAUGCUUUGAGCUCACACCCAACAAGUUCAUGUGUCAGGAGCCCAGUCCUUAGUAUGGUCAUGUUUAAAGGUAACAUCGAAAGAAAGUAUCUGUCUGGAUUCCUGUCUGGCAGUGUGAUGUCUUUUUUCUGCUAUGGUAGGGCAUUGUCUGUCCCACAUCCUCAGUCAUAAC